UACGUAGGGUGCAAGCGUUAAUCGGAAUUACUGGGCGUAAAGCGUGCGCAGGCGGUUGUGCAAGACAGAUGUGAAAUCCCCGGGCUCAACCUGGGAAUUGCAUUUGUGACUGCAUGGCUAGAGUUUGGCAGAGGGGGGUAGAAUUUCACGUGUAGCAGUGAAAUGCGUAGAUAUGUGGAGGAACACCGAUGGCGAAGGCAGCCCCCUGGGUCAAGACUGACGCUCAUGCACGAAAGCGUGGGGAGCAAACAGG
rnacentral:rRNA from 1 species